ACACAUUCCGCAUUCUGUGCAGCCUUGCCAGCUGGUGAGCGGGCAGAGCGGCAGGCCAGAGGUGCGGGUCUGUGGAGCAGCUGCAGCCACAGCAGCGUCAGCUCUGCAUGCCAGAGCUGUCAGCGUUUGGCCGGUCAGUGGGUAAGGAGCGCUGUGUUGCGCACCAGCCUUAGUCAAAGCGCUUGAAAGGGUAAAUUCCGGGAGCAGGAAAGGGGCAGGCGGAGAGUUUUGGCGAGUAGUUCUUUGCUCCUUUGGAGACCCCCAGGCGUGUGGUUUCCGCUCUCGGCAGGGAAGCAGAGAGAAGGAGUGACCUGUACGUCGUGACUGUGCUUAUGUGGUGCGGUGCGUGCUUACGUCUUUUUUCAUGGUUCCGAGCGGGCGACAAGUCCCCAGGUGUUUCAGCAGGGACACGUGAGUGGCUAACCUUGCCUUCUGUGGCUCAAAGCCACUACUGAAAACGCAGGGUUCACUGCUGCCGCCGCGCCUUCAGCAGCCACAAAAAUGCAGAGCCAGCAAUCUAUCAGCAUGGCUCAAAGGCCCUGAGGGUAUCCGCAGGGAAUGUCUUAUCCCUUCCAUACGUGUGCUUUAGGAGGAUCCGCGCGGGUCUGAUUUCUGCACUCUGACAAAUGCUUUCUCGUUGGGGUUUCACCUGGCAGACAGCUAAACGCCAGACAGCUGCUUGCUCACCCUGCCCGUGUGGGUUAUGGGAUGGAACUGGUGAGGCAACGGUGUGAGAAUCCAGAGGGUGAGAUAAAGGUGUUCCGAGAGGUAAAGCAAAAGCUGCAGGCGUAAGCAAAGCAAAGCCAGGAAUUCUUUUGCUGCUCCCCCUGGGCAGGCAGAUAGACGCUCGUCUGCUUUCUGGGAAGCAGGGUUUAGCACGCGUAACAGCUUGCUGGGAAGACAAAGCCAUCACUCCUGAGGUGAACAGCUCCUUCUUCCUUAGGCCCACUUUCCUUGCUGUGCAUGACGUGAAACGGUACGGAGUAUGGUCUUCUUCUAGCCGUACCAAAGUCAUGUGCCGGGACAACCACCACUGCUUGGAACAGAUGCUUGUUGUGAGUGAGACGAGUCCCUUUAGGAAUGGUGAGCUCCGGUUGUUUUUGUUUGGCCAGUGCUGAUGCUGGGUAAUUCUGGAGUUGCCAGAAACCACGGCGUGGAAGCCGGAAUGAGAGAGCAGAGUUUUCUUUGCGUGUGCUAGAAGAAAGGUGGCGUGCUUUCCCAAAAGAAGGAAUUGCACAGGCCGUGUCAAAGUGUAAGUCACGCUGCUGGCCUGUUCAGGGAGCGGGGAACACAGGUCUGUGCACAGCCGCGGGAGCGUUUUGUAGGGGGCCCUUUGCAGGCCCUGAAGUCUGCUGCACAGCUGGUUCUCUUUGUGAUGAGACCACUUGUGAUGGGAGGAGUGACAGAGGGGUGCAGCAGAAGAGCCUGCUUUAUGCCCUUUGUCAGUCGUUUCCUCAAGUAGAGCAGUGCCGAGCUGAGUAUUUGGGCCCAAGAGACGUGCUUCCGCAUGACAAGGUGUUGAAUAUCAAAGAGACCCUUGUUCUUGCAGUGCUCUGCCAUCACUGAUGGCGUGCCGAGAGCUCCUGAAUGUGAUGAGUGCUUUUUCCACGGCUGUAUCAAACGCUACGAUGGAAAUGAGUGGAGCCCUCUGGCGGGGACUGCCCUUGGUUGUCUGUGCCUUUCCACAAGGCAAGAGGCGGCGCACUUAAAGGGCGAGGCAUUUCCCAUCAGAUCCUUAUGCGGGAGGCGCGAGUGAGUUGCUGUUGCCAACCGAGAAGUGGAGCCGGCGGAGCUGUUAGCUGGGACCAAAGCGCCCGUAGUACCGCUGGUCUCCAGAAACCCCCGUGUCAGACACGAGGCAGCCCCCAGCGCCAGCACCGGGACGCCUUUGCCCGGUGCGACUGCGCAGGAAUGGAUCUGUUUUGUCAUGUGAGCACUUCCCGGAGCAAGGGAAUUGGGCACGCAGUCAGAGGGAGGCCUGGGAAUAUGAAGGAGCUAAAGAAAAAGCCAGGGAGCCAAGCCCUAAGCAGUAGAAAACCACGUGGCGUACGGAGUGGCAUGAAAUGGCGGCUCCUCAGAGUGGAACGCAGGCUCCAACAAAAUGGCGCCUCCCUAUGUAGGUAGGUGGGAGGGAGUUCCGGCUAUGGCCCCACCUACUUCCGGGCAACAGCCAAUCGGCAGCAGGUCCGGUCCUUCACCCGCAGCACUUUUCCCAUCCCGGCACACAUUCUGCAUUCCGUGCAGCCUUGCCAGCUGGUGAGCGGGCAGAGCGGCAGGCCAGAGGUGCGGGUCUGUGGAGCAGCUGCAGCCACAGCAGCGUCAGCUCUGCAUGCCAGAGCUGUCAGCGUUUGGCCGGUCAGUGGGAGCUGCUCCUGGUGUUCCUUCUCUACUAGAUUUUUCUCCUUCCAUAUCCAUUUGUUGCCGUGGCCUGCGUUGGGUCUGUUCAUCAGACAUUUUCAUCUUCACUACUGUGGUUCAGGGGAAGAAUUUAGCAUUUUUUAUUUUUUAUUUUUUUACCUUUGCUCAGUAUGUUUUCCCUGAGCUACUACCAUCUUGAGGUAUUCCCAAGGGAUUACCCCCAUAGGGAUUACCCCCAUAGGGAUUAUCUCUGUCAUGCAACAGCACUACUGGAGCCAUAUGGAACAUACUGUUUCACAGAUGGGUCAGCCCUUACUUCUUUGCAGGGGCUUCCAAGACAACUCAGUGGCAGCACCUGUAUGUGUUUACAUUGUGCAAGUCUCUAUGAAAGGGGAUGUUUUUUCACCUGAGCACUUUCUGAACCAAAGGAAUUGGACAUCCAAUCAGAAUGAGGCCUGAGAUUAUGUAAGAGUUAAUGUGAAAGCCAGAAUCCCAACCUUUUAUCACUAUAAAUACAUAUGGAUUUUGAAGAUUUGUGAAAUGAUGGCACCUCAGAUUGGAAUGUGGACUACAAAAUGGCACCUCCCUUUGUAGGUUUGUGGGAAGGAGUCCCAGUCUUGAUCCUUCCUACUUCUGGGCAAUAAGUGAUUGGCACUGGAUCCAGUACUUCAUCCAUGACACUUUUGGUAUCCUGGCAUGGAAACUACGCAGCGCUGCCAUCUGGUAACUGGGAAGAGUGGCCUGCCAGAGGUCUGGUUCUUCGGAGCAGCUAUAGCCACAUCAGCAUCAUCUGUGCCUGCCAGAGUGAUCACCAUUUGUCCAUCCAAGUGCUUUUCUUUCCAGGAGGAUAUACUUGACCGGCUAGCUUAAAUGGAGAUACAAGUGAAAUCAAAGGCAGAAGAGCUUUCAGUUGGAUGUACCUCUGGAGACAUGCAAGAAUUCUUUGCAAAGAUGCCAGGUAGGUAGCAACAAAGCCAUGUUGAAAAGUCCAGUGAUGAUCAAGAAGACUUCAGGGCCUUGUGGAGAGGGAUAAAAGGAUCAAGAGCACAGGCAGUACUCCCUUCUACCCUUCAAGUUGUGGGGAGUGGUAUUGAAAGAAACAGGUGAGCUUUAAAUAAGGUUUGAAGGGUUACAUUGAGAAAAUCAGGCUUACAAUUGAUAAGCAAUAGAAUAGCACGUCAGUGUUGGACAGCAAGCUAGUGAGGGUUUUGCUGAGUACUUUGGAGAAGUAUUUGAAGUGUUUGUAUACCAAUACAUGCAGUAUGAAAAAUAAAUAAGAGGAGCUAAAAGUGUGGCUCAGUCGCAAUGCUACAACAUCAUUACAAUUGGUUGAACUUGUGUGAAGAGUCCUGUUCUUGAAGUGCUAUGAUGGGUGAUUAUAGGUUCUUCAAGAGACAUAGGCAGGUCAGGUCAGACAGAGGGGUAACACUGUAUGCAAAAGGAGUUCAACUAUACAAGGCUGGCAGUUAGAGAUUACAUGGAUGAGAGAUUCUGGGUAUGGGUUAGGGAAAAAACUAAUAAAGCAGAUGUUAUUGUAGGAGUCUACUACAAAUCACCAAGCCAGAAUGAUGUCAGUGACACAUGAGAACUGACAGGAUAGAGAAUAUUAUAAAAAAAUUAGAAGAAUCUCUAGAUCAGUUUCCCUUGUUGUGAUUGGCAACUUCAACUUCCAGGUGUUCUCUGGGAAAAUCAUACAGCAGACAUGAACAAGUCCAGGGAAUUUACAAAGUAUGUUGAGGAUAUAUAUAUAUAUAUAUAUUUACCAACUAUUAAGGGAGCUAACUGGGAGAGCUGCCUUCCUAGAUCUAUUAUCUAUAAAUAGAGAAAGUCUUGAGAUUGAAGUGAUUAGUGGCUGUCAUGGGAAAAGUGACCAUAAAAUCUCUAAUUUUAAAUCCUCGCUGAUCUGCAAAAAAAUACAGAAAUGCUACCUGAGAUUUUAGGAAAGCAGAAUUGCUCAAGGAAACAGUAAGGUGUCCUGAAAAUCCACUUUUGAAGGCACUGGGGUUCAUGAAUACUACUCACUUUUUAAGAACCUUCUUUUUGAAAGCAGGAGCAAACAUGGACAGUUCCAAUGUGUCAGAAGUGAAGUAAGUGUGACAGAAGGUUCUCUUGGCUGAUGAGGGACUUCUCUUGGAACUUACAUAAGGGAAAAAAAGUGUAUGAACCUUGGAAGCAAGCCCUGGUUAGACAGGACUAUAGAGAUGCUGUCUGCUAUUGCAGGGAGAAAAUGCAUACAGCUAAAGCUCAGUUGUAGUUGAAGCUGGCCAGUGCAGUGGUGAACAACAAGAAAGUCUUUUUAAAGUAUGUUUAACAGCAAGAGGAAUAAUAUAGAAAACUGUUAAGUUAAUUGAUAAGGUUGGUCACCUCACAAAAAGGGGUGAAUGUAAAGCUGAAAUGUUUAAUGCCUUCUUUCGGUCCCAUUGAAUCCUGGGCUGGAAUACCAUGUUUGGGUGAGUAAUUAGCUUCCAGCUGAAGCUGAGCUUGUUCAGGAUUUUCUGCUUCAGUUGAAUGCACAUAAGUCUAUGGGGUCUGAUGAGAUAUAUCCCAGAGGACUGAAAAUGUUGGCCUAUGUUACCGUGAGAACACUCACAGUUAGUUAUGAACAACUUGGGAAUAUGGGGAGUCCCAGUCAACUGGGAAGUUGUCUUUCUCCAAUUACAGGAGGAAGUGGAGAUUAUUUCAUAUGUGUAUACACAAUGGCAAGAGUAUGACGCAAUGAGUCAAAUGUCAGCCUGAACAGCUUAUUACAAAUCCUAGUUGCUUAACGAGGUGGAAUGGGAAGAUGGGUGAUAAAAAAGAGAUAGGAAAUAAGAGCAAAGAGUCAUUGUAGAAAGCAAGAGAGAGAGAGUCAUCACUGGAAUAACAGCGUAGCUCAUAGUUUGUAAUUCAGAUGCUCAUGUUUGGUAAUGAUAGGUCAGCAGAGGUAGUGUUGUUGAGCUGACAACAGCUAACAGUGACAGUACAAACAUGUAAGUCCAAAGUGGUUGAGUCAGUUCUCUUUGGAGUGAAAGUUUCUGGUUUUUGGACCUCAGUAGGAACUACUUUUUUUCCUGUCUUCCAAACCUUGCCAGCAGAUAAGAGGGAGAAGGAUGGGUGCCCACUUAUAUCUUGACGUCACAGCAUACAAUGGUAUCAUCCCCCAGUCUCCUGGACCAUGCUGGAGUUACCUGGUCACAAGCCAGAUCUUCUGUCAGUAAACAAACUGAGUCAUUCAAAUGUAAAGCUGUCCACAAGGUGAUGUUGACUGCUACAUGAUGAAACACACAACGUGCCUCCUAGAUAAGUCAGAGUCUUAUUGCAAAAAAUGCCCCAGAAAGCAAGAUUAGAGGAAAAAAAAAAAAAAAAGUACAGACAGAACUAGCAAAUGUACUAGUUUUUAAGAAGGAUAAGAAGGAUAAGAAAAAAACACUGUGAUAAGGGAGCAGUCCGCUUUAUAUCCUCGCCCGGCAAAAUAAAAUAGAAGACUAGUCUAAGAUGAAAGAAAUAUUAAUAAAAAACAAAAACAAACAAACAAAACAAAACAAAAACAAAGGUACACAAAGAGAAAAUAAUUAAUGAAAAAAGACAAUAACAUUUUAUGAGAAGACUAUCCACCUAGUGAAUAAAAAGAGAUAAAAGAGUACAGGAUGUAGUCAAAUUGUAGCAAAGAAUGUGGAAGUAUUAUUCACAACAGUAUUCAAGAGAAAAUAACCAGUGAUGAACUGGAAAAGUACAAAGUAAAGUGAGAUUAAAAUGAGCAGGAAGCCAGAGCUGAGAGAGCAGUAGUGAAGGGAGAAAAGACAGAAAACUAAAACACUGCCCUGCAAACGAUUAAAUAAUAAUAAAAAAAAAUCAGUUGAAACUAAAAUAAAAAAACCAAACAUAUAAGAAGAAGACAAAACAAAACAAAAAAUAUUCUAGCAAGUAACAUGCAAGAGCAAUCCGUGGGGUGUGUUGUGAAUUGUAGUAGGGCACAAUAAGAAGCAGAAAAGUCCUGGGCUCAGUGUGGGCGCUGCUCCGCAACAACAGCAGGAAGGAACUACAACGUGGAUGCGUUAGCACCACCGUUUUUGUCAGAAACGCAAAAGAGCCCACCAACCCGUGCGAGGCGGUACGAGGAAAAUGGGCAGUCUCCCAGACAAAACCACGACAACUACCUAGUGUAGUAUAGUGGUGUACCUACGUGGCAUGGAGACAAUAUUUUCAGUUACCUUUAUCAAAUCCUUUUUAAUAAUUCUGUGUCUGUAUGUACUGUAGAAGUUGCAGUGGCGGGCUGACCUCAGCCAGCAGCCCGAUGCACAGCCAGCUACUCGGUCACUCAGUGUCCUCAACGGGACAGAGUAGGGAAGGCGAUGGGCAUUCUCGUGGGUCAAGACACGGACAGGGAGCUCGCUCACCAGAGGCAAAGCAGAAUAGACGUGGGGGAAGUUGCUUGGAGUCAUUGCACAUUUUGGACAGACUUGGAUGGUGAGAAACAAAAGCACCUGACCCCCCUCCCCUCUUCCCCGAGCCCAAAUACCCUCCUUCACGCACGAGUCCUCGACGUCCCCGCAGCGUGAGAGGUGCAGGGGUGAGGGGCGGUAGCGGUCAGUCCCCCCACAGCUCUGCUCGGCCGCUCCUUCCUCCUCCACUUCUCCCCUGUACCUGUGUGGGCUCUGAGCAGGCUGCAGCAUCCCUUGGGGUGUGGUGACGUGCCCCGCCGCCUCCAGCAGCGGCUGCGGGAGAAUCUCUGCCCUAGCGCUUGGAGCACCUCCUUCUGUUUCUCCUCCUGCCCAUGCUUUUUCUCCACCCUUUGCUCCGGCUCCACCUCCUCCUCCUCACGCUCCACCUCCUUCUCCUCCUCCCUCUCCGCCUCCCGCUCCCCAGCUUCUCACUCGGGCAUUCACGUGGCUGUCUCUCACACGGUUCCACCCUCUCUCCCCACUGCUGGGCAGCAUUCUGCCCCUUCUUGCCCUUUCCUCGGGACGUUUCCCCCAGGACGCCUCCACCUUGGGUGUGGGGCUCGGUUGUGCCUUGUGGCAGUGCCGCUGGAGCUGGAUGGAAACGGCUGGUUUUGACAGGGGGCAGCCCUGCCUUCUCCUCAGAGGCAGCUGGCAACCCGCAGUGCCAGCACGUGGGCACCCGCCCCCUACAGCGGGGACGAUUGUAUCAAAAUGUAUAUAUUGUAACAUCAGAGCGCUCUCCGGCCCAGAGGAAUUGGGCAGCCAAUCAGAGGGACUCCUGAGAAAGCGACAGCCUUUGAAAGAGAGGCCAAUCACAGAGCAGUGCGAAAACACGUGGCCUACUAAGUGCCACAAGAUGGUGGCUCCGGACUGUGGAAUUCGGGCUGAAACAAAAUGGCGCCUCCGCUGGCUCAUGAAAUGGCGGCUCCUCACCCUGGAACGCAGACUGGAACAAAAUGGCGCCUCCCUGUGUAGGUAGGUGGGAGGGAUUUUCUGUCUUGUCCCAUCCUACCUGCGGGCGGGCCCAGUAGCACUGGGUCCUCCCCUUCACCCGCAGCCCUUUCCCCGCCCCUGCACGCAUCCACCCGGCGCCUCCAGCUGGUAGCCAGGAAGAACGGCGGGCUGGAGGCGCCGCUCUGCUGAGCGGCUGCAGGUGCCGGCCGCGCUGCCCGGUGGCUCUCCGUCCGAGUGGUAGGAGGUGCUCUGCUGCACAUCGCGUGUAGCUGAACGAGCCCACAUCUAGGAUUCGGGGCGCAGGGGGGUGGGGGAGCUAGGCAUUCCUUUUGAGGAGCGGUUUUCUGCACCUUUCUAAAUUGCAAGGUGGGCAGCUCCUAUGGUAAAGAGGGAAGAUGAGAGAGCAGGUGAACGUGCGCCUGGUCCCGACCCUGCGUAUGUGCCUUGAAUUGCACUGGCGCUUGUCUGGAUGAUGCGCAUGCUUGUGUCCAAGUGCCUUCUUUUGUGAGUGUGCCAUGUCACAUCCAGGCAGCAAAAUUCAUAGCGCAACGAUUAAGGAAGAAAGGGUUGCAGGCUCAGCUGAAGGUGGCGUUUUGCUCUGUUUUUCCAUGUAUGCAAACGGCGGGGAGCGCUGCCUGACUUUCCCAUCCCCAUGUGAAGCCCCAGGCCUGCCCUAGGAAGCCUGCGUGGUCUGUUAUGCAGGUUGGCAUAAGGCCCGGGGAUGUGUCCGGUCACUCGAGUUGUCAGGGUCGCUCCCGCUGGCAAGUUUGAGGAUCAGUAGCCGGGCAAGAUGUCCCUCCAGGCCGUGGCCCAGCGUGGCCACCUGGGAGGCAUCCUCGUGCCCCCUGUUUUGGCCGAGCGCCCGCCCUCUUGAAGCUCCCCCACCGCUGCUGUGCCAGGGGCUUUUCUGCAGACUGCUAACGGGCGGGUCGCCGACCUGGCCUUCUGCUCACGUUGGACUGUUUCUAUUCCCACUGAAACUUGAAUUCUUUAUUUUGUUAGCCGGCACGAAGGAACGCCCUGCCCGUUUCACAGCUACGCUUUGAGGAGUACAGGCAUAGGUUUAACUGCUCGGUCUGGAUGCCUGUGUGCCUGUUAUGUGUAGUUGUCGCUGCUUAACCUGGCAGAAAGCGGAACACCACGCAGCCUCCCCAGCUGUGAUGGGGAAAGAAUCGGAAGGAUGGAAGUGGGAGCACACGCGGGUUUAGGUAAAGACGGUUUGCUAGGUAAAUGAAAAGGCGUGCCCGCAAGCCAAGGGAAACGUUUGCCGCUUCCCUUUGACAGGCAACUAUUCAGCCGCUUCUAGGAUCCCAGGGCUCACUGCACGUAACCAGCUCUUAUCUAGCACGGUGUGCAGCGUGGCUGAAUAUGAAGGCGAAAAAAAGCUUUACUUACCUGUAUGAAGGUCUCCCUGCAUUUGAAUGUAUGUGUAAUUUCUAUACAUAGACUGCCGUGUCGCGCUGACCUUGGCCAGCAGCCUGAUGCUGUGCGGUCUGUGUCGCGUGCCAUCUUCUCGUGCACUGCCAACCUCCUUGCUGGCAGGGCGCCGUAAGAAGCAGAAAAGUCCUGGGCUCAGUGUGGGCGCUGCUCCGCAACAACAGCAGGAAGGAACUACAACGUGGAUGCGUUAGCACCACCGUUUUUGUCAGAAACGCAAAAGAGCCCACCAACCCGUGCGAGGCGGUACGAGGAAAAUGGGCAGUCUCCCAGACAAAACCACGACAACUACCUAGUGUAGUAUAGUGGUGUACCUACGUGGCAUGGAGACAAUAUUUUCAGUUACCUUUAUCAAAUCCUUUUUAAUAAUUCUGUGUCUGUAUGUACUGUAGAAGUUGCAGUGGCGGGCUGACCUCAGCCAGCAGCCCGAUGCACAGCCAGCUACUCGGUCACUCAGUGUCCUCAACGGGACAGAGUAGGGAAGGCGAUGGGCAUUCUCGUGGGUCAAGACACGGACAGGGAGCUCGCUCACCAGAGGCAAAGCAGAAUAGACGUGGGGGAAGUUGCUUGGAGUCAUUGCACAUUUUGGACAGACUUGGAUGGUGAGAAACAAAAGCACCUGACCCCCCUCCCCUCUUCCCCGAGCCCAAAUACCCUCCUUCACGCACGAGUCCUCGACGUCCCCGCAGCGUGAGAGGUGCAGGGGUGAGGGGCGGUAGUGGUCAGUCCCCCCACAGCUCUGCUCGGCCGCUCCUUCCUCCUCCACUUCUCCCCUGUACCUGUGUGGGCUCUGAGCAGGCUGCAGCAUCCCUUGGGGUGUGGUGACGUGCCCCGCCGCCUCCAGCAGCGGCUGCGGGAGAAUCUCUGCCCUAGCGCUUGGAGCACCUCCUUCUGUUUCUCCUCCUGCCCAUGCUUUUUCUCCACCCUUUGCUCCGGCUCCACCUCCUCCUCCUCACGCUCCACCUCCUUCUCCUCCUCCCUCUCCGCCUCCCGCUCCCCAGCUUCUCACUCGGGCAUUCACGUGGCUGUCUCUCACACGGUUCCACCCUCUCUCCCCACUGCUGGGCAGCAUUCUGCCCCUUCUUGCCCUUUCCUCGGGACGUUUCCCCCAGGACGCCUCCACCUUGGGUGUGGGGCUCGGUUGUGCCUUGUGGCAGUGCCGCUGGAGCUGGAUGGAAACGGCUGGUUUUGACAGGGGGCAGCCCUGCCUUCUCCUCAGAGGCAGCUGGCAACCCGCAGUGCCAGCACGUGGGCACCCGCCCCCUACAGCGGGGACGAUUGUAUCAAAAUGUAUAUAUUGUAACAUCAGAGCGCUCUCCGGCCCAGAGGAAUUGGGCAGCCAAUCAGAGGGACUCCUGAGAAAGCGACAGCCUUUGAAAGAGAGGCCAAUCACAGAGCAGUGCGAAAACACGUGGCCUACUAAGUGCCACAAGAUGGUGGCUCCGGACUGUGGAAUUCGGGCUGAAACAAAAUGGCGCCUCCGCUGGCUCAUGAAAUGGCGGCUCCUCACCCUGGAAUGCAGACUGGAACAAAAUGGCGCCUCCCUGUGUAGGUAGGUGGGAGGGAUUUUCUGUCUUGUCCCAUCCUACCUGCGGGCGGGCCCAGUAGCACUGGGUCCUCCCCUUCACCCGCAGCCCUUUCCCCGCCCCUGCACGCAUCCACCCGGCGCCUCCAGCUGGUAGCCAGGAAGAACGGCGGGCUGGAGGCGCCGCUCUGCUGAGCGGCUGCAGGUGCCGGCCGCGCUGCCCGGUGGCUCUCCGUCCGAGUGGUAGGAGGUGCUCUGCUGCACAUCGCGUGUAGCUGAACGAGCCCACAUCUAGGAUUCGGGGCGCAGGGGGGUGGGGGAGCUAGGCAUUCCUUUUGAGGAGCGGUUUUCUGCACCUUUCUAAAUUGCAAGGUGGGCAGCUCCUAUGGUAAAGAGGGAAGAUGAGAGAGCAGGUGAACGUGCGCCUGGUCCCGACCCUGCGUAUGUGCCUUGAAUUGCACUGGCGCUUGUCUGGAUGAUGCGCAUGCUUGUGUCCAAGUGCCUUCUUUUGUGAGUGUGCCAUGUCACAUCCAGGCAGCAAAAUUCAUAGCGCAACGAUUAAGGAAGAAAGGGUUGCAGGCUCAGCUGAAGGUGGCGUUUUGCUCUGUUUUUCCAUGUAUGCAAACGGCGGGGAGCGCUGCCUGACUUUCCCAUCCCCAUGUGAAGCCCCAGGCCUGCCCUAGGAAGCCUGCGUGGUCUGUUAUGCAGGUUGGCAUAAGGCCCGGGGAUGUGUCCGGUCACUCGAGUUGUCAGGGUCGCUCCCGCUGGCAAGUUUGAGGAUCAGUAGCCGGGCAAGAUGUCCCUCCAGGCCGUGGCCCAGCGUGGCCACCUGGGAGGCAUCCUCGUGCCCCCUGUUUUGGCCGAGCGCCCGCCCUCUUGAAGCUCCCCCACCGCUGCUGUGCCAGGGGCUUUUCUGCAGACUGCUAACGGGCGGGUCGCCGACCUGGCCUUCUGCUCACGUUGGACUGUUUCUAUUCCCACUGAAACUUGAAUUCUUUAUUUUGUUAGCCGGCACGAAGGAACGCCCUGCCCGUUUCACAGCUACGCUUUGAGGAGUACAGGCAUAGGUUUAACUGCUCGGUCUGGAUGCCUGUGUGCCUGUUAUGUGUAGUUGUCGCUGCUUAACCUGGCAGAAAGCGGAGCACCACGCAGCCUCCCCAGCUGUGAUGGGGAAAGAAUCGGAAGGAUGGAAGUGGGAGCACACGCGGGUUUAGGUAAAGACGGUUUGCUAGGUAAAUGAAAAGGCGUGCCCGCAAGCCAAGGGAAACGUUUGCCGCUUCCCUUUGACAGGCAACUAUUCAGCCGCUUCUAGGAUCCCAGGGCUCACUGCACGUAACCAGCUCUUAUCUAGCACGGUGUGCAGCGUGGCUGAAUAUGAAGGCGAAAAAAAGCUUUACUUACCUGUAUGAAGGUCUCCCUGCAUUUGAAUGUAUGUGUAAUUUCUAUACAUAGACUGCCGUGUCGCGCUGACCGUGGCCAGCAGCCUGAUGGUGUGCGGUCUGUGUCGCGUGCCAUCUUCUCGUGCACUGCCAACCUCCUUGCUGGCAGGGCGCCGUAAGAAGCAGAAAAGUCCUGGGCUCAGUGUGGGCGCUGCUCCGCAACAACAGCAGGAAGGAACUACAACGUGGAUGCGUUAGCACCACCGUUUUUGUCAGAAACGCAAAAGAGCCCACCAACCCGUGCGAGGCGGUACGAGGAAAAUGGGCAGUCUCCCAGACAAAACCACGACAACUACCUAGUGUAGUAUAGUGGUGUACCUACGUGGCAUGGAGACAAUAUUUUCAGUUACCUUUAUCAAAUCCUUUUUAAUAAUUCUGUGUCUGUAUGUACUGUAGAAGUUGCAGUGGCGGGCUGACCUCAGCCAGCAGCCCGAUGCACAGCCAGCUACUCGGUCACUCAGUGUCCUCAACGGGACAGAGUAGGGAAGGCGAUGGGCAUUCUCGUGGGUCAAGACACGGACAGGGAGCUCGCUCACCAGAGGCAAAGCAGAAUAGACGUGGGGGAAGUUGCUUGGAGUCAUUGCACAUUUUGGACAGACUUGGAUGGUGAGAAACAAAAGCACCUGACCCCCCUCCCCUCUUCCCCGAGCCCAAAUACCCUCCUUCACGCACGAGUCCUCGACGUCCCCGCAGCGUGAGAGGUGCAGGGGUGAGGGGCGGUAGCGGUCAGUCCCCCCACAGCUCUGCUCGGCCGCUCCUUCCUCCUCCACUUCUCCCCUGUACCUGUGUGGGCUCUGAGCAGGCUGCAGCAUCCCUUGGGGUGUGGUGACGUGCCCCGCCGCCUCCAGCAGCGGCUGCGGGAGAAUCUCUGCCCUAGCGCUUGGAGCACCUCCUUCUGUUUCUCCUCCUGCCCAUGCUUUUUCUCCACCCUUUGCUCCGGCUCCACCUCCUCCUCCUCACGCUCCACCUCCUUCUCCUCCUCCCUCUCCGCCUCCCGCUCCCCAGCUUCUCACUCGGGCAUUCACGUGGCUGUCUCUCACACGGUUCCACCCUCUCUCCCCACUGCUGGGCAGCAUUCUGCCCCUUCUUGCCCUUUCCUCGGGACGUUUCCCCCAGGACGCCUCCACCUUGGGUGUGGGGCUCGGUUGUGCCUUGUGGCAGUGCCGCUGGAGCUGGAUGGAAACGGCUGGUUUUGACAGGGGGCAGCCCUGCCUUCUCCUCAGAGGCAGCUGGCAACCCGCAGUGCCAGCACGUGGGCACCCGCCCCCUACAGCGGGGACGAUUGUAUCAAAAUGUAUAUAUUGUAACAUCAGAGCGCUCUCCGGCCCAGAGGAAUUGGGCAGCCAAUCAGAGGGACUCCUGAGAAAGCGACAGCCUUUGAAAGAGAGGCCAAUCACAGAGCAGUGCGAAAACACGUGGCCUACUAAGUGCCACAAGAUGGUGGCUCCGGACUGUGGAAUUCGGGCUGAAACAAAAUGGUGCCUCCGCUGGCUCAUGAAAUGGCGGCUCCUCACCCUGGAAUGCAGACUGGAACAAAAUGGCGCCUCCCUGUGUAGGUAGGUGGGAGGGAUUUUCUGUCUUGUCCCAUCCUACCUGCGGGCGGGCCCAGUAGCACUGGGUCCUCCCCUUCACCCGCAGCCCUUUCCCCGCCCCUGCACGCAUCCACCCGGCGCCUCCAGCUGGUAGCCAGGAAGAACGGCGGGCUGGAGGCGCCGCUCUGCUGAGCGGCUGCAGGUGCCGGCCGCGCUGCCCGGUGGCUCUCCGUCCGAGUGGUAGGAGGUGCUCUGCUGCACAUCGCGUGUAGCUGAACGAGCCCACAUCUAGGAUUCGGGGCGCAGGGGGGUGGGGGAGCUAGGCAUUCCUUUUGAGGAGCGGUUUUCUGCACCUUUCUAAAUUGCAAGGUGGGCAGCUCCUAUGGUAAAGAGGGAAGAUGAGAGAGCAGGUGAACGUGCGCCUGGUCCCGACCCUGCGUAUGUGCCUUGAAUUGCACUGGCGCUUGUCUGGAUGAUGCGCAUGCUUGUGUCCAAGUGCCUUCUUUUGUGAGUGUGCCAUGUCACAUCCAGGCAGCAAAAUUCAUAGCGCAACGAUUAAGGAAGAAAGGGUUGCAGGCUCAGCUGAAGGUGGCGUUUUGCUCUGUUUUUCCAUGUAUGCAAACGGCGGGGAGCGCUGCCUGACUUUCCCAUCCCCAUGUGAAGCCCCAGGCCUGCCCUAGGAAGCCUGCGUGGUCUGUUAUGCAGGUUGGCAUAAGGCCCGGGGAUGUGUCCGGUCACUCGAGUUGUCAGGGUCGCUCCCGCUGGCAAGUUUGAGGAUCAGUAGCCGGGCAAGAUGUCCCUCCAGGCCGUGGCCCAGCGUGGCCACCUGGGAGGCAUCCUCGUGCCCCCUGUUUUGGCCGAGCGCCCGCCCUCUUGAAGCUCCCCCACCGCUGCUGUGCCAGGGGCUUUUCUGCAGACUGCUAACGGGCGGGUCGCCGACCUGGCCUUCUGCUCACGUUGGACUGUUUCUAUUCCCACUGAAACUUGAAUUCUUUAUUUUGUUAGCCGGCACGAAGGAACGCCCUGCCCGUUUCACAGCUACGCUUUGAGGAGUACAGGCAUAGGUUUAACUGCUCGGUCUGGAUGCCUGUGUGCCUGUUAUGUGUAGUUGUCGCUGCUUAACCUGGCAGAAAGCGGAACACCACGCAGCCUCCCCAGCUGUGAUGGGGAAAGAAUCGGAAGGAUGGAAGUGGGAGCACACGCGGGUUUAGGUAAAGACGGUUUGCUAGGUAAAUGAAAAGGCGUGCCCGCAAGCCAAGGGAAACGUUUGCCGCUUCCCUUUGACAGGCAACUAUUCAGCCGCUUCUAGGAUCCCAGGGCUCACUGCACGUAACCAGCUCUUAUCUAGCACGGUGUGCAGCGUGGCUGAAUAUGAAGGCGAAAAAAAGCUUUACUUACCUGUAUGAAGGUCUCCCUGCAUUUGAAUGUAUGUGUAAUUUCUAUACAUAGACUGCCGUGUCGCGCUGACCUUGGCCAGCAGCCUGAUGGUGUGCGGUCUGUGUCGCGUGCCAUCUUCUCGUGCACUGCCAACCUCCUUGCUGGCAGGGCGCCGUAAGAAGCAGAAAAGUCCUGGGCUCAGUGUGGGCGCUGCUCCGCAACAACAGCAGGAAGGAACUACAACGUGGAUGCGUUAGCACCACCGUUUUUGUCAGAAACGCAAAAGAGCCCACCAACCCGUGCGAGGCGGUACGAGGAAAAUGGGCAGUCUCCCAGACAAAACCACGACAACUACCUAGUGUAGUAUAGUGGUGUACCUACGUGGCAUGGAGACAAUAUUUUCAGUUACCUUUAUCAAAUCCUUUUUAAUAAUUCUGUGUCUGUAUGUACUGUAGAAGUUGCAGUGGCGGGCUGACCUCAGCCAGCAGCCCGAUGCACAGCCAGCUACUCGGUCACUCAGUGUCCUCAACGGGACAGAGUAGGGAAGGCGAUGGGCAUUCUCGUGGGUCAAGACACGGACAGGGAGCUCGCUUACCAGAGGCAAAGCAGAAUAGACGUGGGGGAAGUUGCUUGGAGUCAUUGCACAUUUUGGACAGACUUGGAUGGUGAGAAACAAAAGCACCUGACCCCCCUCCCCUCUUCCCCGAGCCCAAAUACCCUCCUUCACGCACGAGUCCUCGACGUCCCCGCAGCGUGAGAGGUGCAGGGGUGAGGGGCGGUAGCGGUCAGUCCCCCCACAGCUCUGCUCGGCCGCUCCUUCCUCCUCCACUUCUCCCCUGUACCUGUGUGGGCUCUGAGCAGGCUGCAGCAUCCCUUGGGGUGUGGUGACGUGCCCCGCCGCCUCCAGCAGCGGCUGCGGGAGAAUCUCUGCCCUAGCGCUUGGAGCACCUCCUUCUGUUUCUCCUCCUGCCCAUGCUUUUUCUCCACCCUUUGCUCCGGCUCCACCUCCUCCUCCUCACGCUCCACCUCCUUCUCCUCCUCCCUCUCCGCCUCCCGCUCCCCAGCUUCUCACUCAGGCAUUCACGUGGCUGUCUCUCACACGGUUCCACCCUCUCUCCCCACUGCUGGGCAGCAUUCUGCCCCUUCUUGCCCUUUCCUCGGGACGUUUCCCCCAGGACGCCUCCACCUUGGGUGUGGGGCUCGGUUGUGCCUUGUGGCAGUGCCGCUGGAGCUGGAUGGAAACGGCUGGUUUUGACAGGGGGCAGCCCUGCCUUCUCCUCAGAGGCAGCUGGCAACCCGCAGUGCCAGCACGUGGGCACCCGCCCCCUACAGCGGGGACGAUUGUAUCAAAAUGUAUAUAUUGUAACAUCAGAGCGCUCUCCGGCCCAGAGGAAUUGGGCAGCCAAUCAGAGGGACUCCUGAGAAAGCGACAGCCUUUGAAAGAGAGGCCAAUCACAGAGCAGUGCGAAAACACGUGGCCUACUAAGUGCCACAAGAUGGUGGCUCCGGACUGUGGAAUUCGGGCUGAAACAAAAUGGCGCCUCCGCUGGCUCAUGAAAUGGCGGCUCCUCACCCUGGAAUGCAGACUGGAACAAAAUGGCGCCUCCCUGUGUAGGUAGGUGGGAGGGAUUUUCUGUCUUGUCCCAUCCUACCUGCGGGCGGGCCCAGUAGCACUGGGUCCUCCCCUUCACCCGCAGCCCUUUCCCCGCCCCUGCACGCAUCCACCCGGCGCCUCCAGCUGGUAGCCAGGAAGAACGGCGGGCUGGAGGCGCCGCUCUGCUGAGCGGCUGCAGGUGCCGGCCGCGCUGCCCGGUGGCUCUCCGUCCGAGUGGUAGGAGGUGCUCUGCUGCACAUCGCGUGUAGCUGAACGAGCCCACAUCUAGGAUUCGGGGCGCAGGGGGGUGGGGGAGCUAGGCAUUCCUUUUGAGGAGCGGUUUUCUGCACCUUUCUAAAUUGCAAGGUGGGCAGCUCCUAUGGUAAAGAGGGAAGAUGAGAGAGCAGGUGAACGUGCGCCUGGUCCCGACCCUGCGUAUGUGCCUUGAAUUGCACUGGCGCUUGUCUGGAUGAUGCGCAUGCUUGUGUCCAAGUGCCUUCUUUUGUGAGUGUGCCAUGUCACAUCCAGGCAGCAAAAUUCAUAGCGCAACGAUUAAGGAAGAAAGGGUUGCAGGCUCAGCUGAAGGUGGCGUUUUGCUCUGUUUUUCCAUGUAUGCAAACGGCGGGGAGCGCUGCCUGACUUUCCCAUCCCCAUGUGAAGCCCCAGGCCUGCCCUAGGAAGCCUGCGUGGUCUGUUAUGCAGGUUGGCAUAAGGCCCGGGGAUGUGUCCGGUCACUCGAGUUGUCAGGGUCGCUCCCGCUGGCAAGUUUGAGGAUCAGUAGCCGGGCAAGAUGUCCCUCCAGGCCGUGGCCCAGCGUGGCCACCUGGGAGGCAUCCUCGUGCCCCCUGUUUUGGCCGAGCGCCCGCCCUCUUGAAGCUCCCCCACCGCUGCUGUGCCAGGGGCUUUUCUGCAGACUGCUAACGGGCGGGUCGCCGACCUGGCCUUCUGCUCACGUUGGACUGUUUCUAUUCCCACUGAAACUUGAAUUCUUUAUUUUGUUAGCCGGCACGAAGGAACGCCCUGCCCGUUUCACAGCUACGCUUUGAGGAGUACAGGCAUAGGUUUAACUGCUCGGUCUGGAUGCCUGUGUGCCUGUUAUGUGUAGUUGUCGCUGCUUAACCUGGCAGAAAGCGGAGCACCACGCAGCCUCCCCAGCUGUGAUGGGGAAAGAAUCGGAAGGAUGGAAGUGGGAGCACACGCGGGUUUAGGUAAAGACGGUUUGCUAGGUAAAUGAAAAGGCGUGCCCGCAAGCCAAGGGAAACGUUUGCCGCUUCCCUUUGACAGGCAACUAUUCAGCCGCUUCUAGGAUCCCAGGGCUCACUGCACGUAACCAGCUCUUAUCUAGCACGGUGUGCAGCGUGGCUGAAUAUGAAGGCGAAAAAAAGCUUUACUUACCUGUAUGAAGGUCUCCCUGCAUUUGAAUGUAUGUGUAAUUUCUAUACAUAGACUGCCGUGUCGCGCUGACCGUGGCCAGCAGCCUGAUGGUGUGCGGUCUGUGUCGCGUGCCAUCUUCUCGUGCACUGCCAACCUCCUUGCUGGCAGGGCGCCGUAAGAAGCAGAAAAGUCCUGGGCUCAGUGUGGGCGCUGCUCCGCAACAACAGCAGGAAGGAACUACAACGUGGAUGCGUUAGCACCACCGUUUUUGUCAGAAACGCAAAAGAGCCCACCAACCCGUGCGAGGCGGUACGAGGAAAAUGGGCAGUCUCCCAGACAAAACCACGACAACUACCUAGUGUAGUAUAGUGGUGUACCUACGUGGCAUGGAGACAAUAUUUUCAGUUACCUUUAUCAAAUCCUUUUUAAUAAUUCUGUGUCUGUAUGUACUGUAGAAGUUGCAGUGGCGGGCUGACCUCAGCCAGCAGCCCGAUGCACAGCCAGCUACUCGGUCACUCAGUGUCCUCAACGGGACAGAGUAGGGAAGGCGAUGGGCAUUCUCGUGGGUCAAGACACGGACAGGGAGCUCGCUCACCAGAGGCAAAGCAGAAUAGACGUGGGGGAAGUUGCUUGGAGUCAUUGCACAUUUUGGACAGACUUGGAUGGUGAGAAACAAAAGCACCUGACCCCCCUCCCCUCUUCCCCGAGCCCAAAUACCCUCCUUCACGCACGAGUCCUCGACGUCCCCGCAGCGUGAGAGGUGCAGGGGUGAGGGGCGGUAGCGGUCAGUCCCCCCACAGCUCUGCUCGGCCGCUCCUUCCUCCUCCACUUCUCCCCUGUACCUGUGUGGGCUCUGAGCAGGCUGCAGCAUCCCUUGGGGUGUGGUGACGUGCCCCGCCGCCUCCAGCAGCGGCUGCGGGAGAAUCUCUGCCCUAGCGCUUGGAGCACCUCCUUCUGUUUCUCCUCCUGCCCAUGCUUUUUCUCCACCCUUUGCUCCGGCUCCACCUCCUCCUCCUCACGCUCCACCUCCUUCUCCUCCUCCCUCUCCGCCUCCCGCUCCCCAGCUUCUCACUCGGGCAUUCACGUGGCUGUCUCUCACACGGUUCCACCCUCUCUCCCCACUGCUGGGCAGCAUUCUGCCCCUUCUUGCCCUUUCCUCGGGACGUUUCCCCAGGACGCCUCCACCUUGGGUGUGGGGCUCGGUUGUGCCUUGUGGCAGUGCCGCUGGAGCUGGAUGGAAACGGCUGGUUUUGACAGGGGGCAGCCCUGCCUUCUCCUCAGAGGCAGCUGGCAACCCGCAGUGCCAGCACGUGGGCACCCGCCCCCUACAGCGGGGACGAUUGUAUCAAAAUGUAUAUAUUGUAACAUCAGAGCGCUCUCCGGCCCAGAGGAAUUGGGCAGCCAAUCAGAGGGACUCCUGAGAAAGCGACAGCCUUUGAAAGAGAGGCCAAUCACAGAGCAGUGCGAAAACACGUGGCCUACUAAGUGCCACAAGAUGGUGGCUCCGGACUGUGGAAUUCGGGCUGAAACAAAAUGGCGCCUCCGCUGGCUCAUGAAAUGGCGGCUCCUCACCCUGGAACGCAGACUGGAACAAAAUGGCGCCUCCCUGUGUAGGUAGGUGGGAGGGAUUUUCUGUCUUGUCCCAUCCUACCUGCGGGCGGGCCCAGUAGCACUGGGUCCUCCCCUUCACCCGCAGCCCUUUCCCCGCCCCUGCACGCAUCCACCCGGCGCCUCCAGCUGGUAGCCAGGAAGAACGGCGGGCUGGAGGCGCCGCUCUGCUGAGCGGCUGCAGGUGCCGGCCGCGCUGCCCGGUGGCUCUCCGUCCGAGUGGUAGGAGGUGCUCUGCUGCACAUCGCGUGUAGCUGAACGAGCCCACAUCUAGGAUUCGGGGCGCAGGGGGGUGGGGGAGCUAGGCAUUCCUUUUGAGGAGCGGUUUUCUGCACCUUUCUAAAUUGCAAGGUGGGCAGCUCCUAUGGUAAAGAGGGAAGAUGAGAGAGCAGGUGAACGUGCGCCUGGUCCCGACCCUGCGUAUGUGCCUUGAAUUGCACUGGCGCUUGUCUGGAUGAUGCGCAUGCUUGUGUCCAAGUGCCUUCUUUUGUGAGUGUGCCAUGUCACAUCCAGGCAGCAAAAUUCAUAGCGCAACGAUUAAGGAAGAAAGGGUUGCAGGCUCAGCUGAAGGUGGCGUUUUGCUCUGUUUUUCCAUGUAUGCAAACGGCGGGGAGCGCUGCCUGACUUUCCCAUCCCCAUGUGAAGCCCCAGGCCUGCCCUAGGAAGCCUGCGUGGUCUGUUAUGCAGGUUGGCAUAAGGCCCGGGGAUGUGUCCGGUCACUCGAGUUGUCAGGGUCGCUCCCGCUGGCAAGUUUGAGGAUCAGUAGCCGGGCAAGAUGUCCCUCCAGGCCGUGGCCCAGCGUGGCCACCUGGGAGGCAUCCUCGUGCCCCCUGUUUUGGCCGAGCGCCCGCCCUCUUGAAGCUCCCCCACCGCUGCUGUGCCAGGGGCUUUUCUGCAGACUGCUAACGGGCGGGUCGCCGACCUGGCCUUCUGCUCACGUUGGACUGUUUCUAUUCCCACUGAAACUUGAAUUCUUUAUUUUGUUAGCCGGCACGAAGGAACGCCCUGCCCGUUUCACAGCUACGCUUUGAGGAGUACAGGCAUAGGUUUAACUGCUCGGUCUGGAUGCCUGUGUGCCUGUUAUGUGUAGUUGUCGCUGCUUAACCUGGCAGAAAGCGGAGCACCACGCAGCCUCCCCAGCUGUGAUGGGGAAAGAAUCGGAAGGAUGGAAGUGGGAGCACACGCGGGUUUAGGUAAAGACGGUUUGCUAGGUAAAUGAAAAGGCGUGCCCGCAAGCCAAGGGAAACGUUUGCCGCUUCCCUUUGACAGGCAACUAUUCAGCCGCUUCUAGGAUCCCAGGGCUCACUGCACGUAACCAGCUCUUAUCUAGCACGGUGUGCAGCGUGGCUGAAUAUGAAGGCGAAAAAAAGCUUUACUUACCUGUAUGAAGGUCUCCCUGCAUUUGAAUGUAUGUGUAAUUUCUAUACAUAGACUGCCGUGUCGCGCUGACCUUGGCCAGCAGCCUGAUGGUGUGCGGUCUGUGUCGCGUGCCAUCUUCUCGUGCACUGCCAACCUCCUUGCUGGCAGGGCGCCGUAAGAAGCAGAAAAGUCCUGGGCUCAGUGUGGGCGCUGCUCCGCAACAACAGCAGGAAGGAACUACAACGUGGAUGCGUUAGCACCACCGUUUUUGUCAGAAACGCAAAAGAGCCCACCAACCCGUGCGAGGCGGUACGAGGAAAAUGGGCAGUCUCCCAGACAAAACCACGACAACUACCUAGUGUAGUAUAGUGGUGUACCUACGUGGCAUGGAGACAAUAUUUUCAGUUACCUUUAUCAAAUCCUUUUUAAUAAUUCUGUGUCUGUAUGUACUGUAGAAGUUGCAGUGGCGGGCUGACCUCAGCCAGCAGCCCGAUGCACAGCCAGCUACUCGGUCACUCAGUGUCCUCAACGGGACAGAGUAGGGAAGGCGAUGGGCAUUCUCGUGGGUCAAGACACGGACAGGGAGCUCGCUCACCAGAGGCAAAGCAGAAUAGACGUGGGGGAAGUUGCUUGGAGUCAUUGCACAUUUUGGACAGACUUGGAUGGUGAGAAACAAAAGCACCUGACCCCCCUCCCCUCUUCCCCGAGCCCAAAUACCCUCCUUCACGCACGAGUCCUCGACGUCCCCGCAGCGUGAGAGGUGCAGGGGUGAGGGGCGGUAGCGGUCAGUCCCCCCACAGCUCUGCUCGGCCGCUCCUUCCUCCUCCACUUCUCCCCUGUACCUGUGUGGGCUCUGAGCAGGCUGCAGCAUCCCUUGGGGUGUGGUGACGUGCCCCGCCGCCUCCAGCAGCGGCUGCGGGAGAAUCUCUGCCCUAGCGCUUGGAGCACCUCCUUCUGUUUCUCCUCCUGCCCAUGCUUUUUCUCCACCCUUUGCUCCGGCUCCACCUCCUCCUCCUCACGCUCCACCUCCUUCUCCUCCUCCCUCUCCGCCUCCCGCUCCCCAGCUUCUCACUCGGGCAUUCACGUGGCUGUCUCUCACACGGUUCCACCCUCUCUCCCCACUGCUGGGCAGCAUUCUGCCCCUUCUUGCCCUUUCCUCGGGACGUUUCCCCCAGGACGCCUCCACCUUGGGUGUGGGGCUCGGUUGUGCCUUGUGGCAGUGCCGCUGGAGCUGGAUGGAAACGGCUGGUUUUGACAGGGGGCAGCCCUGCCUUCUCCUCAGAGGCAGCUGGCAACCCGCAGUGCCAGCACGUGGGCACCCGCCCCCUACAGCGGGGACGAUUGUAUCAAAAUGUAUAUAUUGUAACAUCAGAGCGCUCUCCGGCCCAGAGGAAUUGGGCAGCCAAUCAGAGGGACUCCUGAGAAAGCGACAGCCUUUGAAAGAGAGGCCAAUCACAGAGCAGUGCGAAAACACGUGGCCUACUAAGUGCCACAAGAUGGUGGCUCCGGACUGUGGAAUUCGGGCUGAAACAAAAUGGCGCCUCCGCUGGCUCAUGAAAUGGCGGCUCCUCACCCUGGAAUGCAGACUGGAACGAAAUGGCGCCUCCCUGUGUAGGUAGGUGGGAGGGAUUUUCUGUCUUGUCCCAUCCUACCUGCGGGCGGGCCCAGUAGCACUGGGUCCUCCCCUUCACCCGCAGCCCUUUCCCCGCCCCUGCACGCAUCCACCCGGCGCCUCCAGCUGGUAGCCAGGAAGAACGGCGGGCUGGAGGCGCCGCUCUGCUGAGCGGCUGCAGGUGCCGGCCGCGCUGCCCGGUGGCUCUCCGUCCGAGUGGUAGGAGGUGCUCUGCUGCACAUCGCGUGUAGCUGAACGAGCCCACAUCUAGGAUUCGGGGCGCAGGGGGGUGGGGGAGCUAGGCAUUCCUUUUGAGGAGCGGUUUUCUGCACCUUUCUAAAUUGCAAGGUGGGCAGCUCCUAUGGUAAAGAGGGAAGAUGAGAGAGCAGGUGAACGUGCGCCUGGUCCCGACCCUGCGUAUGUGCCUUGAAUUGCACUGGCGCUUGUCUGGAUGAUGCGCAUGCUUGUGUCCAAGUGCCUUCUUUUGUGAGUGUGCCAUGUCACAUCCAGGCAGCAAAAUUCAUAGCGCAACGAUUAAGGAAGAAAGGGUUGCAGGCUCAGCUGAAGGUGGCGUUUUGCUCUGUUUUUCCAUGUAUGCAAACGGCGGGGAGCGCUGCCUGACUUUCCCAUCCCCAUGUGAAGCCCCAGGCCUGCCCUAGGAAGCCUGCGUGGUCUGUUAUGCAGAUUGGCAUAAGGCCCGGGGAUGUGUCCGGUCACUCGAGUUGUCAGGGUCGCUCCCGCUGGCAAGUUUGAGGAUCAGUAGCCGGGCAAGAUGUCCCUCCAGGCCGUGGCCCAGCGUGGCCACCUGGGAGGCAUCCUCGUGCCCCCUGUUUUGGCCGAGCGCCCGCCCUCUUGAAGCUCCCCCACCGCUGCUGUGCCAGGGGCUUUUCUGCAGACUGCUAACGGGCGGGUCGCCGACCUGGCCUUCUGCUCACGUUGGACUGUUUCUAUUCCCACUGAAACUUGAAUUCUUUAUUUUGUUAGCCGGCACGAAGGAACGCCCUGCCCGUUUCACAGCUACGCUUUGAGGAGUACAGGCAUAGGUUUAACUGCUCGGUCUGGAUGCCUGUGUGCCUGUUAUGUGUAGUUGUCGCUGCUUAACCUGGCAGAAAGCGGAGCACCACGCAGCCUCCCCAGCUGUGAUGGGGAAAGAAUCGGAAGGAUGGAAGUGGGAGCACACGCGGGUUUAGGUAAAGACGGUUUGCUAGGUAAAUGAAAAGGCGUGCCCGCAAGCCAAGGGAAACGUUUGCCGCUUCCCUUUGACAGGCAACUAUUCAGCCGCUUCUAGGAUCCCAGGGCUCACUGCACGUAACCAGCUCUUAUCUAGCACGGUGUGCAGCGUGGCUGAAUAUGAAGGCGAAAAAAAGCUUUACUUACCUGUAUGAAGGUCUCCCUGCAUUUGAAUGUAUGUGUAAUUUCUAUACAUAGACUGCCGUGUCGCGCUGACCUUGGCCAGCAGCCUGAUGGUGUGCGGUCUGUGUCGCGUGCCAUCUUCUCGUGCACUGCCAACCUCCUUGCUGGCAGGGCGCCGUAAGAAGCAGAAAAGUCCUGGGCUCAGUGUGGGCGCUGCUCCGCAACAACAGCAGGAAGGAACUACAACGUGGAUGCGUUAGCACCACCGUUUUUGUCAGAAACGCAAAAGAGCCCACCAACCCGUGCGAGGCGGUACGAGGAAAAUGGGCAGUCUCCCAGACAAAACCACGACAACUACCUAGUGUAGUAUAGUGGUGUACCUACGUGGCAUGGAGACAAUAUUUUCAGUUACCUUUAUCAAAUCCUUUUUAAUAAUUCUGUGUCUGUAUGUACUGUAGAAGUUGCAGUGGCGGGCUGACCUCAGCCAGCAGCCCGAUGCACAGCCAGCUACUCGGUCACUCAGUGUCCUCAACGGGACAGAGUAGGGAAGGCGAUGGGCAUUCUCGUGGGUCAAGACACGGACAGGGAGCUCGCUCACCAGAGGCAAAGCAGAAUAGACGUGGGGGAAGUUGCUUGGAGUCAUUGCACAUUUUGGACAGACUUGGAUGGUGAGAAACAAAAGCACCUGACCCCCCUCCCCUCUUCCCCGAGCCCAAAUACCCUCCUUCACGCACGAGUCCUCGACGUCCCCGCAGCGUGAGAGGUGCAGGGGUGAGGGGCGGUAGCGGUCAGUCCCCCCACAGCUCUGCUCGGCCGCUCCUUCCUCCUCCACUUCUCCCCUGUACCUGUGUGGGCUCUGAGCAGGCUGCAGCAUCCCUUGGGGUGUGGUGACGUGCCCCGCCGCCUCCAGCAGCGGCUGCGGGAGAAUCUCUGCCCUAGCGCUUGGAGCACCUCCUUCUGUUUCUCCUCCUGCCCAUGCUUUUUCUCCACCCUUUGCUCCGGCUCCACCUCCUCCUCCUCACGCUCCACCUCCUUCUCCUCCUCCCUCUCCGCCUCCCGCUCCCCAGCUUCUCACUCGGGCAUUCACGUGGCUGUCUCUCACACGGUUCCACCCUCUCUCCCCACUGCUGGGCAGCAUUCUGCCCCUUCUUGCCCUUUCCUCGGGACGUUUCCCCCAGGACGCCUCCACCUUGGGUGUGGGGCUCGGUUGUGCCUUGUGGCAGUGCCGCUGGAGCUGGAUGGAAACGGCUGGUUUUGACAAGGGGCAGCCCUGCCUUCUCCUCAGAGGCAGCUGGCAACCCGCAGUGCCAGCACGUGGGCACCCGCCCCCUACAGCGGGGACGAUUGUAUCAAAAUGUAUAUAUUGUAACAUCAGAGCGCUCUCCGGCCCAGAGGAAUUGGGCAGCCAAUCAGAGGGACUCCUGAGAAAGCGACAGCCUUUGAAAGAGAGGCCAAUCACAGAGCAGUGCGAAAACACGUGGCCUACUAAGUGCCACAAGAUGGUGGCUCCGGACUGUGGAAUUCGGGCUGAAACAAAAUGGCGCCUCCGCUGGCUCAUGAAAUGGCGGCUCCUCACCCUGGAAUGCAGACUGGAACGAAAUGGCGCCUCCCUGUGUAGGUAGGUGGGAGGGAUUUUCUGUCUUGUCCCAUCCUACCUGCGGGCGGGCCCAGUAGCACUGGGUCCUCCCCUUCACCCGCAGCCCUUUCCCCGCCCCUGCACGCAUCCACCCGGCGCCUCCAGCUGGUAGCCAGGAAGAACGGCGGGCUGGAGGCGCCGCUCUGCUGAGCGGCUGCAGGUGCCGGCCGCGCUGCCCGGUGGCUCUCCGUCCGAGUGGUAGGAGGUGCUCUGCUGCACAUCGCGUGUAGCUGAACGAGCCCACAUCUAGGAUUCGGGGCGCAGGGGGGUGGGGGAGCUAGGCAUUCCUUUUGAGGAGCGAUUUUCUGCACCUUUCUAAAUUGCAAGGUGGGCAGCUCCUAUGGUAAAGAGGGAAGAUGAGAGAGCAGGUGAACGUGCGCCUGGUCCCGACCCUGCGUAUGUGCCUUGAAUUGCACUGGCGCUUGUCUGGAUGAUGCGCAUGCUUGUGUCCAAGUGCCUUCUUUUGUGAGUGUGCCAUGUCACAUCCAGGCAGCAAAAUUCAUAGCGCAACGAUUAAGGAAGAAAGGGUUGCAGGCUCAGCUGAAGGUGGCGUUUUGCUCUGUUUUUCCAUGUAUGCAAAUGGCGGGGAGCGCUGCCUGACUUUCCCAUCCCCAUGUGAAGCCCCAGGCCUGCCCUAGGAAGCCUGCGUGGUCUGUUAUGCAGGUUGGCAUAAGGCCCGGGGAUGUGUCCGGUCACUCGAGUUGUCAGGGUCGCUCCCGCUGGCAAGUUUGAGGAUCAGUAGCCGGGCAAGAUGUCCCUCCAGGCCGUGGCCCAGCGUGGCCACCUGGGAGGCAUCCUCGUGCCCCCUGUUUUGGCCGAGCGCCCGCCCUCUUGAAGCUCCCCCACCGCUGCUGUGCCAGGGGCUUUUCUGCAGACUGCUAACGGGCGGGUCGCCGACCUGGCCUUCUGCUCACGUUGGACUGUUUCUAUUCCCACUGAAACUUGAAUUCUUUAUUUUGUUAGCCGGCACGAAGGAACGCCCUGCCCGUUUCACAGCUACGCUUUGAGGAGUACAGGCAUAGGUUUAACUGCUCGGUCUGGAUGCCUGUGUGCCUGUUAUGUGUAGUUGUCGCUGCUUAACCUGGCAGAAAGCGGAGCACCACGCAGCCUCCCCAGCUGUGAUGGGGAAAGAAUCGGAAGGAUGGAAGUGGGAGCACACGCGGGUUUAGGUAAAGACGGUUUGCUAGGUAAAUGAAAAGGCGUGCCCGCAAGCCAAGGGAAACGUUUGCCGCUUCCCUUUGACAGGCAACUAUUCAGCCGCUUCUAGGAUCCCAGGGCUCACUGCACGUAACCAGCUCUUAUCUAGCACGGUGUGCAGCGUGGCUGAAUAUGAAGGCGAAAAAAAGCUUUACUUACCUGUAUGAAGGUCUCCCUGCAUUUGAAUGUAUGUGUAAUUUCUAUACAUAGACUGCCGUGUCGCGCUGACCGUGGCCAGCAGCCUGAUGGUGUGCGGUCUGUGUCGCGUGCCAUCUUCUCGUGCACUGCCAACCUCCUUGCUGGCAGGGCGCCGUAAGAAGCAGAAAAGUCCUGGGCUCAGUGUGGGCGCUGCUCCGCAACAACAGCAGGAAGGAACUACAACGUGGAUGCGUUAGCACCACCGUUUUUGUCAGAAACGCAAAAGAGCCCACCAACCCGUGCGAGGCGGUACGAGGAAAAUGGGCAGUCUCCCAGACAAAACCACGACAACUACCUAGUGUAGUAUAGUGGUGUACCUACGUGGCAUGGAGACAAUAUUUUCAGUUACCUUUAUCAAAUCCUUUUUAAUAAUUCUGUGUCUGUAUGUACUGUAGAAGUUGCAGUGGCGGGCUGACCUCAGCCAGCAGCCCGAUGCACAGCCAGCUACUCGGUCACUCAGUGUCCUCAACGGGACAGAGUAGGGAAGGCGAUGGGCAUUCUCAUGGGUCAAGACACGGACAGGGAGCUCGCUCACCAGAGGCAAAGCAGAAUAGACGUGGGGGAAGUUGCUUGGAGUCAUUGCACAUUUUGGACAGACUUGGAUGGUGAGAAACAAAAGCACCUGACCCCCCUCCCCUCUUCCCCGAGCCCAAAUACCCUCCUUCACGCACGAGUCCUCGACGUCCCCGCAGCGUGAGAGGUGCAGGGGUGAGGGGCGGUAGCGGUCAGUCCCCCCACAGCUCUGCUCGGCCGCUCCUUCCUCCUCCACUUCUCCCCUGUACCUGUGUGGGCUCUGAGCAGGCUGCAGCAUCCCUUGGGGUGUGGUGACGUGCCCCGCCGCCUCCAGCAGCGGCUGCGGGAGAAUCUCUGCCCUAGCGCUUGGAGCACCUCCUUCUGUUUCUCCUCCUGCCCAUGCUUUUUCUCCACCCUUUGCUCCGGCUCCACCUCCUCCUCCUCACGCUCCACCUCCUUCUCCUCCUCCCUCUCCGCCUCCCGCUCCCCAGCUUCUCACUCGGGCAUUCACGUGGCUGUCUCUCACACGGUUCCACCCUCUCUCCCCACUGCUGGGCAGCAUUCUGCCCCUUCUUGCCCUUUCCUCGGGACGUUUCCCCCAGGACGCCUCCACCUUGGGUGUGGGGCUCGGUUGUGCCUUGUGGCAGUGCUGCUGGAGCUGGAUGGAAACGGCUGGUUUUGACAGGGGGCAGCCCUGCCUUCUCCUCAGAGGCAGCUGGCAACCCGCAGUGCCAGCACGUGGGCACCCGCCCCCUACAGCGGGGACGAUUGUAUCAAAAUGUAUAUAUUGUAACAUCAGAGCGCUCUCCGGCCCAGAGGAAUUGGGCAGCCAAUCAGAGGGACUCCUGAGAAAGCGACAGCCUUUGAAAGAGAGGCCAAUCACAGAGCAGUGCGAAAACACGUGGCCUACUAAGUGCCACAAGAUGGUGGCUCCGGACUGUGGAAUUCGGGCUGAAACAAAAUGGCGCCUCCGCUGGCUCAUGAAAUGGCGGCUCCUCACCCUGGAAUGCAGACUGGAACGAAAUGGCGCCUCCCUGUGUAGGUAGGUGGGAGGGAUUUUCUGUCUUGUCCCAUCCUACCUGCGGGCGGGCCCAGUAGCACUGGGUCCUCCCCUUCACCCGCAGCCCUUUCCCCGCCCCUGCACGCAUCCACCCGGCGCCUCCAGCUGGUAGCCAGGAAGAACGGCGGGCUGGAGGCGCCGCUCUGCUGAGCGGCUGCAGGUGCCGGCCGCGCUGCCCGGUGGCUCUCCGUCCGAGUGGUAGGAGGUGCUCUGCUGCACAUCGCGUGUAGCUGAACGAGCCCACAUCUAGGAUUCGGGGCGCAGGGGGGUGGGGGAGCUAGGCAUUCCUUUUGAGGAGCGGUUUUCUGCACCUUUCUAAAUUGCAAGGUGGGCAGCUCCUAUGGUAAAGAGGGAAGAUGAGAGAGCAGGUGAACGUGCGCCUGGUCCCGACCCUGCGUAUGUGCCUUGAAUUGCACUGGCGCUUGUCUGGAUGAUGCGCAUGCUUGUGUCCAAGUGCCUUCUUUUGUGAGUGUGCCAUGUCACAUCCAGGCAGCAAAAUUCAUAGCGCAACGAUUAAGGAAGAAAGGGUUGCAGGCUCAGCUGAAGGUGGCGUUUUGCUCUGUUUUUCCAUGUAUGCAAACGGCGGGGAGCGCUGCCUGACUUUCCCAUCCCCAUGUGAAGCCCCAGGCCUGCCCUAGGAAGCCUGCGUGGUCUGUUAUGCAGGUUGGCAUAAGGCCCGGGGAUGUGUCCGGUCACUCGAGUUGUCAGGGUCGCUCCCGCUGGCAAGUUUGAGGAUCAGUAGCCGGGCAAGAUGUCCCUCCAGGCCGUGGCCCAGCGUGGCCACCUGGGAGGCAUCCUCGUGCCCCCUGUUUUGGCCGAGCGCCCGCCCUCUUGAAGCUCCCCCACCGCUGCUGUGCCAGGGGCUUUUCUGCAGACUGCUAACGGGCGGGUCGCCGACCUGGCCUUCUGCUCACGUUGGACUGUUUCUAUUCCCACUGAAACUUGAAUUCUUUAUUUUGUUAGCCGGCACGAAGGAACGCCCUGCCCGUUUCACAGCUACGCUUUGAGGAGUACAGGCAUAGGUUUAACUGCUCGGUCUGGAUGCCUGUGUGCCUGUUAUGUGUAGUUGUCGCUGCUUAACCUGGCAGAAAGCGGAGCACCACGCAGCCUCCCCAGCUGUGAUGGGGAAAGAAUCGGAAGGAUGGAAGUGGGAGCACACGCGGGUUUAGGUAAAGACGGUUUGCUAGGUAAAUGAAAAGGCGUGCCCGCAAGCCAAGGGAAACGUUUGCCGCUUCCCUUUGACAGGCAACUAUUCAGCCGCUUCUAGGAUCCCAGGGCUCACUGCACGUAACCAGCUCUUAUCUAGCACGGUGUGCAGCGUGGCUGAAUAUGAAGGCGAAAAAAAGCUUUACUUACCUGUAUGAAGGUCUCCCUGCAUUUGAAUGUAUGUGUAAUUUCUAUACAUAGACUGCCGUGUCGCGCUGACCUUGGCCAGCAGCCUGAUGGUGUGCGGUCUGUGUCGCGUGCCAUCUUCUCGUGCACUGCCAACCUCCUUGCUGGCAGGGCGCCGUAAGAAGCAGAAAAGUCCUGGGCUCAGUGUGGGCGCUGCUCCGCAACAACAGCAGGAAGGAACUACAACGUGGAUGCGUUAGCACCACCGUUUUUGUCAGAAACGCAAAAGAGCCCACCAACCCGUGCGAGGCGGUACGAGGAAAAUGGGCAGUCUCCCAGACAAAACCACGACAACUACCUAGUGUAGUAUAGUGGUGUACCUACGUGGCAUGGAGACAAUAUUUUCAGUUACCUUUAUCAAAUCCUUUUUAAUAAUUCUGUGUCUGUAUGUACUGUAGAAGUUGCAGUGGCGGGCUGACCUCAGCCAGCAGCCCGAUGCACAGCCAGCUACUCGGUCACUCAGUGUCCUCAACGGGACAGAGUAGGGAAGGCGAUGGGCAUUCUCAUGGGUCAAGACACGGACAGGGAGCUCGCUCACCAGAGGCAAAGCAGAAUAGACGUGGGGGAAGUUGCUUGGAGUCAUUGCACAUUUUGGACAGACUUGGAUGAGCGCUCUCCGGCCCAGAGGAAUUGGGCAGCCAAUCAGAGGGACUCCUGAGAAAGCGACAGCCUUUGAAAGAGAGGCCAAUCACAGAGCAGUGCGAAAACACGUGGCCUACUAAGUGCCACAAGAUGGUGGCUCCGGACUGUGGAAUUCGGGCUGAAACAAAAUGGCGCCUCCGCUGGCUCAUGAAAUGGCGGCUCCUCACCCUGGAAUGCAGACUGGA